UACGAAGGGUGCAAGCGUUACUCGGAAUUACUGGGCGUAAAGCGUGCGUAGGCGGUGAGUUAAGUCUGAUGUGAAAUCCCCGGGCUCAACCUGGGAAUGGCAUUGGAUACUGGCUCGCUAGAGUGCGGUAGAGGGUGGUGGAAUUCCCGGUGUAGCAGUGAAAUGCGUAGAGAUCGGGAGGAACAUCUGUGGCGAAGGCGGCCACCUGGACCAACACUGACACUGAGGCACGAAAGCGUGGGGAGCAAACAGG
rnacentral:rRNA from 1 species